rnacentral:rRNA from 1 species
GGACGAACGCUGGCGGCGUGCUUAACACAUGCAAGUCGAACGGGAGUAUUGAAGAAGCUUGCUUUAGAGAUACUUUAGUGGCGGACGGGUGAGUAACGCGUGAGGAGCUGUCCGAUGCAGGGGGACAACAGUUGGAAACGACUGCUAAUACCCCAUAAGCCGAGAGGUAAAAGGAUUUAUCCGGCAGAGGAGGUACUCGCGUCCUAUCAGCUAGUAGGUGAGGUAACGGCUCACCUAGGCGAAGACGGGUAGCCGGCCUGAGAGGGCGAACGGCCACACUGGAACUGAGAUACGGUCCAGACUCCUACGGGAGGCAGCAGUGGGGAAUAUUGGGCAAUGGGGGGAACCCUGACCCAGCGACGCCGCGUGGGUGAAGAAAUCCUUCGGGAUGUAAAGCCCUGUUGUAUGGGAAGAGCGGAAGACGGUACCAUACGAGGAAGCCCCGGCAAACUACGUGCCAGCAGCCGCGGUAAUACGUAGGGGGCAAGCGUUGUCCGGAAUUACUGGGCGUAAAGCGCACGCAGGCUGAAUUAUAAGUCGGUAGUAAAAGGCGGGGGCUCAACUUCCGUAUAUCUAUCGAUACUGUAAAUCUAGAGUAUGUGAGAGGGAAGCGGAAUUCCCGGUGUAGCGGUGAAAUGCGUAGAUAUCGGGAGGAACACCAGUGGCGAAGGCGGCUUCCUGGCACAAUACUGACGCUCAUGUGCGAAAGCUAGGGCAGCGAACGGGAUUAGAUACCCCGGUAGUCCUAGCCGUAAACGAUGGAUACUAGGUGUUGGGAGAGUAACUCUCUCAGUGCCGAAGCUAACGCGUUAAGUAUCCCACCUGGAGAGUACGAUCGCAAGGUUGAAACUCAAAGGAAUUGACGGGGGCCCGCACAAGCAGCGAGGUAUGUGGUUUAAUUCGAGGCUACACGAAGAACCUUACCUGGGCUUGACAUGUAAGUGAAAGGGUUAAGAAACUAACUCUCUCUUAUGUAGCAAUACAUAAGACACUUACACAGGUGGUGCAUGGUUGUCGUCAGCUCGUGCCGUGAGGUGUAAGGUUAAGUCCUUGAACGAGCGCAACCCUCCCUGUUAUUUGCUAUAAGUUCUUAUGAGCUUAGCACUAUAACAGUACCGCUACCGACAAGGUAGAGGAAGGCGAGGAUGACGUCAAAUCAUCACGCCCCUUAUGUCCAGGGCUACACACAUGCGACAAUGGUUGGUACAGAGGGAAGCAAUAGAGUAAUCUGGAGCAAAUCCCCAAAAACCAGCCCCAGUACAGAUCGAGGGUUGAAACCCACCCUCGUGAAGAUGGAGUUGCUAGUAAACGCAGGUCAGCUACACUGCGUUGAAUAUGUUCCCGGGCCU